rnacentral:misc_RNA from 1 species
UGACACUCCCAGCCAACAUUCCAUAUAGUUCAAAUGCCAUGUGAUGAUAUAUAUAGCAAAGGCAUUCUGGCAUGAAUCUCAAGUUUGCUGCUUCUCCCCAUAUAAGAAGAUAUAGACCCAUAUAUAGUAAUUUUCUUUGCUGCACUUCCUGUUGAAUGGUUGGCAACCAAAGGCUACUUUUGCGCCCCAAAUACUUGCACCAUCUUUUGUAGUUCUUAAACAGUCUCUUCAUCACAUCGGUUAGAGCACAGUCAUCCAACUUUGGUUGCUGAUCAGUCUCUGGAAACAGUCGUAUGUGCACAUUUGCAAGCAACAGAAUCAAAUGUUCCCUCUGAUUUGCC